CCUACGGGUGGCAGCAGUGAGGAAUAUUGGUCAAUGGACGAGAGUCUGAACCAGCCAAGUAGCGUGAAGGAUGACUGCCCUAUGGGUUGUAAACUUCUUUUAUAUGGGAAUAAAACGUUCCACGUGUGGGAUUUUGUAUGUACCAUAUGAAUACGGAACGGCUAACUCCGUGCCAGCCGCCGCGGUAAUACGGAGGUUCCGAGCGUUAUCCGGAUUUAUUGGGUUUAAAGGGAGCGUAGGAGGAUUGUUAAGUCUGUUGUGAAAGUUUGCGGCUCAACCGUAAAAUUGCAGUUGAAACUGGCAGUCUUGAGUACAGUAGAGGUAGGCGGAAUUCGUGGUGUAGCGGUGAAAUGCUUAGAUAUCACGAAGAACUCCGAUUGCGAAGGCAGUUCACUGGACUGCAACUGACACUGAGGCUCGAAAGUGUGGGUAUCAAACAGGAUUAGAUACCCGGGUAGUC
rnacentral:rRNA from 1 species